UACGAAGGGGGCUAGCGUUGUUCGGAAUUACUGGGCGUAAAGCGCACGUAGGCGGGUCGUUAAGUCAGGGGUGAAAUCCCGGAGCUCAACUCCGGAACUGCCUUUGAUACUGGCGAUCUUGAGAUCGGAAGAGGUGAGUGGAAUUCCCAGUGUAGAGGUGAAAUUCGUAGAUAUUGGGAAGAACACCAGUGGCGAAGGCGGCUCACUGGUCCGAUACUGACGCUGAGGUGCGAAAGCGUGGGGAGCAAACGGG
rnacentral:rRNA from 1 species